AUUGAACGCUGGCGGCAGGCCUAACACAUGCAAGUCGAGCGGAUGAAGGGAGCUUGCUCCUGGAUUCAGCGGCGGACGGGUGAGUAAUGCCUAGGAAUCUGCCUGGUAGUGGGGGAUAACGUCCGGAAACGGGCGCUAAUACCGCAUACGUCCUGAGGGAGAAAGUGGGGGAUCUUCGGACCUCACGCUAUCAGAUGAGCCUAGGUCGGAUUAGCUAGUUGGUGGGGUAAAGGCCUACCAAGGCGACGAUCCGUAACUGGCCUGAGAGGAUGAUCAGUCACACUGGAACUGAGACACGGUCCAGACUCCUACGGGAGGCAGCAGUGGGGAAUAUUGGACAAUGGGCGAAAGCCUGAUCCAGCCAUGCCGCGUGUGUGAAGAAGGUCUUCGGAUUGUAAAGCACGUUAAGUUGGGAGGAAGGGCAGUAAGUUAAUACCUUGCUGUUUUGACGUUACCAACAGAAUAAGCACCGGCUAACUUCGUG
rnacentral:rRNA from 1 species